rnacentral:rRNA from 1 species
CACGUAGGGCGCAAGCGUUGUCCGGAAUUAUUGGGCGUAAAGAGCUCGUAGGCGGUUUGUCGCGUCUGCUGUGAAAACUGGGGGCUCAACCCCCAGCCUGCAGUGGGUACGGGCAGACUAGAGUGCGGUAGGGGAGAUUGGAAUUCCUGGUGUAGCGGUGGAAUGCGCAGAUAUCAGGAGGAACACCGAUGGCGAAGGCAGAUCUCUGGGCCGUAACUGACGCUGAGGAGACGAAAGCAUGGGGAGCGAACAGG